rnacentral:rRNA from 1 species
CUACGGGGUGCUCCAGUGGGGAAUAUUGCACAAUGGGCGCAAGCCUGAUGCAGCCAUGCCGCGUGUAUGAAGAAGGCCUUCGGGUUGUAAAGUACUUUCAGCGGGGAGGAAGGGAGUAAAGUUAAUACCUUUGCUCAUUGACGUUACCCGCAGAAGAAGCACCGGCUAAGUCCGUGCCAGCAGCCGCGGUAAUACGGAGGGUGCAAGCGUUAAUCGGAAUUACUGGGCGUAAAGCGCACGCAGGCGGUUUGUUAAGUCAGAUGUGAAAUCCCCGGGCUCAACCUGGGAACUGCAUCUGAUACUGGCAAGCUUGAGUCUUGUAGAGGGGGGUAGAAUUCCAGGUGUAGCGGUGAAAUGCGUAGAGAUCUGGAGGAAUACCGGUGGCGAAGGCGGCCCCCUGGACGAAGACUGACGCUCAGGUGCGAAAGCGUGGGGAGCAAACAGGAUUAGAUACCCCUGUAGUC